GCCCUCAGGAGCAAAGGAGAACAAGUCCGUUCCUUUUUCUUUAUGACAGCCCUUCAGGUGUUUAAGGGAAGAUAUGAUAGCCAGCUUCAAAUUUCUCUUCUCCUGGAGGCUUUACCCACAGGGCUUCUGCCCCGAAUCUCCUUUGGGAGAGAGUGUGUGUGUUCACACAGCAGCCAAACUUACUCCGAACUCCCAACGAGAUCCUUGGACCCACUCCACACACAAGUUGAGCUUUGUGAUGUGAAUUCCAGCUUAUCUCAAGACACCACUCCCUAGCUGCUACCUACUGUUUGGGCCUGGGCAAGUAGAGGCACAGGCUGGGCACCCAUGAACCAAGCAGCCAGAACGUUGUAGCCACUCCUGCACACCAGACCAAAAUGCAGGGCAUGCAGUGAGCUGACAGCUGCAUUCCUGAAGCGGCUGCCAUUCCCAGCCUGAAAGCGCAGCUCAACUCUCCACUCUCACCACUUGGAGGACUAGUGGCUCAUUCCACUUGAAGCAUCACCAGCAAAGCAAAAGGACAUGUUUUGUUCUAGAUCUGAAGCAGCCCAGCAAUGGCAUUACCACUGAUCCUUAAUUUCUCUCUUAAAAAUUAAUCUUGAAGUCUGCCAGCUGGACCCGGACAUCAGUCAGGACCAAUCUUCAGUUGCUAACUACUUGAGCAAGACUGCACUGAGUAACCUUGAGGUACAAAGGCUUUGUGUCCCAUCCCCAGUGGCUCUGAUUGAUUCCACCAGGCUGCAAGUUCUUCAUCAACCUUAUUAAUAUCAACUGCUUGCUUAAAACAGAUGAAUAAUUACAAAGCAAACAAAGUACACUCCUUGGCAAUGUUUUAUGACCUCGAUUUUGUCAGGUAAUUGAAUGGUAUGCAGGCAGACCAGAUGGGAUAAGGCAAGAAUCCAACAGUGUCUUGAGAUACAAAUUUCUCUUUUAAAAAUAAUAUUGUUUUUAUUAUUUGCAUGAGUGGUAAACAGGACACUUGACACCUUAAACAAAAAUUUAAAACUG